AACUAUCAUAGUUGUCAACACCUUCCAUUGUCUUUAACAUCUUCACAGUCAACUCAGAGAUAAGUCGUGGUUGGUUGGAUCAUGAUUCCUUUCAUCUAUAUCAUAAUUAUUAUACUAAGCAGUGACAGCAAUCAAGUGAUGGCAGUUGAGUUUGAUUUCUUUAUUUUGGGUUAUCAAUGGCCAGUGAAAUUUUGCAGAAUUCAAAAUUGGAACAAAGAACCGCCAAAUACAUGUAAAUGGACUAUACAUGGACUUUGG